UGCACUGGAAAAUAUUGAGCAUGACUUUGAGCUGGUCUGCAUUUCCUGCAUCAGCAUUUCCGGUUCGUGGUUAUUGUGGGAAGAUCAAAAUGAUAAAAGACCUCCAGCAGAUGCAAUAUAAAGACAGACUAUUCAGAUCUCAAUAAGUCAUUUACCUUGUGCAUCUUCAACCAGUAUGCUCUGAAACAUCCUCAUUUCUUCUUUCCUCAAAGGUGCAGUAGAUUAUGGCCACUGAUAAUGUUUCUGCUGAUCAGGAUGACGAUUUGCUGAUGCUCGAGGAACAGUUCGCUAAUAUCCUGUGUGGGAUGUGUAAGAAGUUCAUGAAGAAAGUGAAAAAACAUCUUGGUAAUAAUGAAAAUGUGAUAAAGAUUUUUUAAAAACACUGAAGAGCAUCUGUAACAUAUUCAGACGUGUGAGAUUCCUGUAAGAAAAUGGUUAAUAAGAACAUUGAUCUCUUGGUGGAGGAACGUUCUACUGAUGAUCCAGAAACAAUCUGUGCUAAAGCUGGCCUUUGCAAGUCAAUGGGCAUGUGGGAAUUGAUCCAAGCUUUUCCACAAAACUACCAGUAGCACAAAACUCCCGCAUUCUCUGCUAAUAAAAUAUUUGAAAGCAUUAAUUCUCUCUCUCUCUCCUUCUAUGUGUACAAAAUAGUUAAUGAUGGUUGAAUGUGUAAAGAGUCUGUAAAAAAUGCUAUGUCAGAUUUAUUCAAAGAACUUCUCCAACAAAGUUUUACAACAAAGUUUUACAAAGUAAAAUUUUAUUUGCAAGUGUAGACCACACCAAACGGUAGUGACAUGGAGUGUGAUUGAGGAACUAUAAUAAAGAAGAACGGUGAGAACUUGGACUGUGGUUUUAGAUGGCUUCUACUCUGCUCUAGACAACCAUGUCCCCCCAAGAUGAAGUCUUAGGUAGAAGUUGUUGUAUAGUAGGGAGGACAGUGUUGGGGAAACUUCAUCACAAGAAACAAAAUGGAGAGAUGAGGAUCUUCUGUGUUCUAAGUUGUUAGCUUAAAAAAAGGUGCAGUUUCAGGCAUGGUCUUUCUCAUAAACUUCUUUUACUUUAUCACUCCAUUUGUAGCUUUGAGAAAUAAUAAAAAGGGGAAGCUGAGUAAGAUACAUAAAACAAAGUUAAAUUCAAAGACAUUAAAACUUUAUUUUAGAGUUUUCUUCUUAAGCCAUCACAUCACUUUCAAUCGGAUUGAUUUUUCUCAUUUCCCACAUGCAAAAAGAAAAUACUCCCACAAUGUCUGGCUUGUAUGUGUGUUUGUGAGCAUGAGUCAUAGUCCCAGUCCCUGCAUAAGACCCUAUUUAUACCUUACAUUAAAUCAGAAUAUCAGUCAAUAUUCAGUGAAUAAUUAAGCUAAAAGCCGUACUGGUUCUUGCAGACUUGGAAUAAAUGUAAUAACGAAGAGUCAACCCAUUAUAAAUGAAUUAAUUAUAAAUGUACAUAUUUAAAUAUAUUUUCAUUAUUUUUCAGGAUUGAUUAUUAAAUAAAAAAAAUAUUUAAAAAUGCUUGUGAGAAAUCAUUAAUAUUUA